UGCAUGUUUCACUGCUGCUCAGUUAGUAAUUGAUCCUGGUUUCGAGAUUCCACGCUGUAAACGUAAACUCUGGGUUAAUGUUCUUAUUUGCAUAUUUACUAUUAGGUCAGUAAUAUUCAGUGGAUGAAUACGGCUCCAUGCCUGAUUGGCAUAUGUGAUGUGACCUGUUUUAUUAACUGCAGUGCAGUUCAUCGGCAUUUUCAAAGUUUCAGUUUUGAAUGCUAAACAGCGGGUUUCUGCAGCUGUAGACAGCAUGGAUAUUUAGUGAGAUACUAACAGACAAUACUUCCCCGUUCUCAGUUAAAAGGAAAGGGAAAUGACACAGCUUGAAAUAAAAACUAUAUCUGCAUCUAAGCAAAAACUUCAAAUAAACACCCGUUCAACCGACUGAAGCAGGAUAGUGACGGGAUUGCCAUGGUUUCAUGUUUUGUUUCGUACCUCAGGAUGUUGCUCUUUUGUCGAGGCACUUCCUCAGUUCAUAAAACAUAAAUCAUGGCUCAUAUGAUGUUGUUUUAGCAGUUGCCAUUAAAACGUAAACAAACACACCAAAAGCCUCAAGGAACUUUUCGAUUAUUAUAAUCAAAGGAUCAU